UAUUAUGAUAUGUUUUGGAUUUCUGUGGCAGCAGAAAUUGACGGCUAAGAUGUUUAUUAGUGUUUUACUAUCGAUUACUUUAGGAAACACUGUUUUCUGAGGUUGAUAGUGACGAAUGGAUCGAUGUUUAAGUUACUAUAAGUGACUGAUGUGUGAGAUGCUACUGCACAUGGAUUAGAUGGACAUGGUGUCGGAGCUGUAUUUGUGUGAAUCCUGUCAACCGGAAUAUCCUAUGGAUGUUGCUCCCAUCAUACUUGUAUGGAAAACCUAUUUAAAGAAACAUUGGUUGUAAUAUAGCAGAAAUAUCGAGAUCGAACCGUCAAUAAGUAGAUGUACUUUGGAGUGGGGCAUUUAUGUGGUCCCUUACGAUUGGAUUGGUUAUUUUCUAAUAAAAAGAUAAUCAGCAAGUGGUAUAAUAAUUAUUAUUAAUUUAAAUUACGUGGAAUCUAUAUGGAAUUUAAUCUAUAACUUUAAUUUACCAUUAUUUAUCAUUAUUUAUUAUCUGGCACAUGCGUUAAUUUAAUGCUUGUUGGAACAUAUGAUUUAAUUUGACGUAAUUUAAUAAGUUAUGUGCGAGUUACUUAAAACUAUUGGAUUGAGUUCAUUUAUAUCGAUUAAAUUGCUGUGAUGCAUCCUGCAUAAACAAUCUUUUUUUGGAAUUCCAUAUAACUGCGUCGUACUUUAUACGCAUUAUUGGGCGUAUAUAUUGGAUGUUGCUCCUGAAUGGAUUAUGUGGAAUUAAAUUAGUAUUUAUAUAUCUGAUACAACUUAUCUACUGGAAAUAAUACGAUCUUGUGAAGUCUUGUUAGCUUUCAGUGAAUUUAAGAAGUAAAACACAAUCAUGGUGAUCUAGGUGCGAGUUAUUAAAUAGCACUACUAAGAGCGAACUACUUAUAAUGUAUUCUAGAGGGACAAAUUUCACUAAAUUUUUAUAAGUGGGUGUAUUCUGUACAUGACUGCUAAGCGUACAGAUUGAAUACUGCCUAAAAAGGGCUGUAUGGAUUUAAAUUAGUAUUAAAUUAGUAUUAACUUACCUGGUGGAACUCUAUAUUAAAAUAAAGCGAUUAGACAUGAAAUCAUAGGGAGUUAGAUGUGUCACUAAGGUUAUAUAUUUAGGCGAGAAUAAUUGUUCUUGAGUUUUAUGGGAGGAAUGCAAUCAAACUAAAUUGAAUUAUAAUUGAUACACGGAUUAUGGAAGUAAACUAAUUGCUCUGUUAGCAUUAUAAUAUUAAAGUGAAUAGCACGUAAGUUAAGGAAAGCUAGUAUAGUAUAUAUAUACAUAGACUAAAUUGAUGUAUUCAAUAUCAGAAUAUAUACGGAUUGCAUAAGAUCAUUAUUAUCAGGUUAAAGAAUAUGGAAAGUGUAUGUCUAAGAAAUGUAUUGUAUUUAUUGUGCGUUUGAGUGUAUGAUCACAUAUCUGCUCGAAUGAUCCUUAGAUAUUUAUGAAUAGUUCUGAAAUAAUGUUCUUGUUGGAGUCGUGGCAUCAUGCUAACGGUUUUUUGUGCCUUACACAUAAUAAAUAACAGGUAAUUGUAAAAAUUAUCAUAGUUUUACACGAAUAAUGGAGCCUGCACUCUACUACUUCUAUUUUAAGAACUAUAGCGGAAAGUUAUAUUGAUCGGAUUCUUCUGAGCUAUAUAUGUGAAUUUAUGUAUGUGUAAUUAUGUAACGCCCAUGCAGCAUGAUGUAAUGUGAGAACAUUGUGGAUUGUUGGUAUGGUGUCGUGCCUAAUGACCAUAAUAUUAUAUUAAGUAAAUUCUGUAAGCCCUUUGAAUAAUAUUAAGACUUAGUGAUUAUUUGAGAUUUGGGACGGUGUCAUAUAAUGUUCAUGAAUAAUACUGAAUUAUUGGGUUUAAUUAUGGAUAAUGUACAUUUGUGAAAUACAGUCUAUGUGCUAAGCGCAUUGAGCGUAUUACUAUAUAGGUCUAGUACUACAUCUGGAAGAAAUAUAUAAAUGUCUAUGAA